CCGGCCACGUCACGGUCU
rnacentral:snRNA from 1 species